AUUGCUUCUCCAGUCUUUUGGCUAAGAUCAAGUGAAGUAUCUGUUCUUAUCAGUUUAAUAUCUGAUACGUCCUCUAUUCGAGGACAAUAUAUUAAAUGGAUUUUUGGAACAGGGAGAUGGAAUAGGAGCUUGUUCCGUCCACUCCACGCAUCGACCUGGUAUUGCAGUAUCUCCAGGAAUGGUGCACAAAAA
rnacentral:snRNA from 1 species